UUCCCUCAAAAUUUCUUUCCUAUAAAUUUUUUGUGACUGUCUGGGUCCACUCCAUGCACAUGUGUUGACACAUUUCCUUCAAGGGUCAUGUGGCUCCCACUAGUAAAAGUGCCACAGUCCUUGCUAAGGACCACUGGAAAAUCUUUUGAAAAAGAUUUCCCUAUUCUGUCAUGUCUCUAUCAACUGUAGAUUAGGGUUUUCUAUAGCCUUUCCUUUCUCACUCCUCAUAUUGCUCCCUCGAUUAUUAAGAUCUCCAAUUUGUUUCAUCACUUUAUCAUUCCAAAGCUGCAAUGGGAUACCUAGGAUAUGCAUCCAGAACCACUCGAAGUUAGUUUCUGGAAAAGCUCAUGCCGUUGGUGUCCACCAUUCUAAAAGCAGAAGGUGAUUUUUCCGACCCCACUUGCUUUGCAUCUAUUCUCGAUUGAAACUCAAAUAGGAUCUGAGUUCCAUUCAUGUCAUAGAUCUGCAGAUUGUGGAUGCCCAUCCAUGAAUUUUCCACCCAGCUCCUAACCUCACUUCUAGUGGGUAUCUCGACGCAUUCUUGGAAUCUUCCCGCCAAACACCUACUAAGGGGUCCUUUUUCUCCUUCAUAGAAAGCCGCCAAAGUCAAGCCCUGUUCUCCAGCCCUCCAUUUGUUUUUUUGUAUUAUUUCUUUAUAACUAUCCUUUCCCCUAAGUCCCAUAGAAGUGAGACCUCAUUGCUCUGUAAUAGAGACUUGUACUCUUGCCUUUUGAUUUAUGAAUUUGUCUAACUUUAAGACAAGUCCCCCCAUCCUUCAUUGAAUGAGUUUUCAGGUAAAAUAAUUAUUGUUCCUGGCCAUUUACUGAGACAACAGAGAUAUACUUUCCAUAUUUAUUGAACUUUAAGGUACAGUAAGUGCUGGUAGUUGCAUCUUUUCAUUUCCAAGUCUUAAAUGAUUUCCCUUUAAUGGAUGAAACAUCUUUGAGCCUAUUGCAUAACCAUAGGAGUGCAACCCUGCUAAGCUUCAUCCUUUUCAUGUGAAGCCUUGCACUCUCCACCCAUUCGUACCAAAAAUUUGUGGUUGAUCUAGUUUCAGUCAGGUCAUAUGAUUUCCCCCCUAAUCUGAAGUAUAUUCUUUUGUCCAUGUGGAUUAGAUGGAUGAAAAAAAAGAUUGGAAAAGGGAAGGAAAACAAAAAGAAAGUUUUCGGCAGAGGAAGUCCAUCGAAAAAGGGUGCCUAAGCCCAAAAGGGUCCUUAGGUGAGACUCUUGGUAUCCGUGCCUGAGAGAAUUUCUAGGCAUUCCAGGGGCAAGAAGAGUUUAUGAAUGAGGUUGUGUCUUGCGGUAGAUAUUGAAAUCUGGAGCUUAAAGAUAAAAGUAAUAUGAUGAUAACUCAUGAUGCUUGUGCAGUACACAAUCUGCAAAUAACAGCUGGACUCACACAAAUGAACAACCAAAGACCAAGUUAAGGCACUUUACUUUGUUGAAUGAUGGAGCACAAGCUGCAAUCAGUGAACCACAAUCAGUGAAGUUGAGUGCACUGUCUGACCAGACUAAAUCUCAUGUAUUAUAGAAAAAUCUUUAUCAAAUUUGUAGUUUCCUGUAAUUUUUGAAUUUUUCUUCCUCUACUUGUUGGCAUUUGAAAAUAGGAAUGAUUUCAAGGGAUGACUUGUUAUCCAUACCACAUGCUUUGCAUUCUC